rnacentral:rRNA from 1 species
GAUGAACGCUGGCGGCGUGCUUAACACAUGCAAGUCGAGCGAAGCAUUUGCAGUUGAUUUCUUCGGAAUGAUUCUGUUUAUGACUGAGCGGGCGACGGGUGAAGGUACGCGUAGGGUAACCGUGCCUCAUACAGGGGGAUAACAGUUAGAAAUGACUGCUAAUACCGCAUAAGCGCACAGUGCCGCAUGGCGCCGUGUGAAAAACUCCGGUGGUAUGAGAUGGACCCGCGUCUGAUUAGCUGGUUGGUGGGGUAACGGCCCACCAAGGCGACGAUCGGUAGCCGGACUGAGAGGUUGAACGGCCACAUUGGGACUGAGACACGGCCCAG